GGCGGGCACCUAUCUAAGGCUGGGUGGUUGGUAGAGAACCAGAGAAGGCUCCUGAAAGAGCUGAGCUUUGAAAGACCAAGGAGUUGUCAAGAUAAAGUAGAGAAGGUCUCUACACAAUUGCACAUCAGUUCAAGCAACUGCAUUAGCACAGGAGUGCCGAGUCGUUCCAAAGAGAGAAGAGUGAGCCAAUAGCUACAGCUGGCAGCCAGGGAAGGGAAAAUGUGCUCUGAGCACUCAGUGAGUCACCCAAACAGACAGGAGGAAGCAUGUGCCAAUUGAGCCUGGAGGCUGCGCCAGAGCUCACACACUCAGCAAGGUCAGGAUUUGAAUAGAAGUAUUAAAGGACCAAACCAUGGGAGGAGUAUAAAAUCGAGCCUUGAUGCAUCAAAGCAGCUCCAUAUGGAUGCUGACCAGAAACUGAAAACUUUCCAGUAGGAAGCUCCUGGAAAUAAGCUCUAAUGAAACAAGGAAAGAAACCAAGA
rnacentral:lncRNA from 1 species